UUAUUAAAAUGGGUUUGAACUUUUGAACCGAUUCCCAAAUCCAAUGAGUUUUUAUUGGGCCGACAUAUGGGCCUUUACUCGAGUUGCAUAUAAAGAUUCGUUCUAGGGUUUCAGAAGAACAACCUCUUUGGGGAGGAGGCGGAGGGAAGAAAAACACAAAAUCGGGUCUAUUCAUUCAGUUCCCGAUACCACAAGCGAAGAUUCAAACUUGUGUUUUUCUUUUUGAUUCCUUCAUGCUGUCUUGAAAUUAUGUCUUUUUUUUUUGUUUGUUGAUCCAAUCCAACUAAAUGGAAAGAGUGGCGAUUCUGCUGGAUGAACAUAUUUGAUUGUAUAGUUAAUUGUCUUUUUAUGCUUUGACAAGUUCCUAACCUUUAUUCUUCUUACUAUGUGUUUACUAUCUAUAAAUCUUUUUAUGAACUUGGUUUAGAUCAUUGGGCCAGUGAUGAUUGAAAAAGUUUUGCCUACAUUGUUUGAUUUACCACUGAGAUAUAAACUAUAAUAAUCACUCUGAGGCUCAUUGCUCAAAAUGUUUUUCCUGUCUUUUAGUUUUGGUCUAGCAUCUUUCUUUCUCUCAUAAGCCCGGCCUAUGACGAUUCAAAAAAUUGCCUACAUUGUCUGAGUAAACCAAUGAUAAAACUUUUACAAUAAUGUAUUCUGAGGCCUAGUUUUGUUUUCCUAGAGAGACUUGAUAUAUUCUGUAUUUUUGUUUUUUGUUUUGGGGAGGAGGCUGGUGAUGAUGUUUCAUAUCUUUGCCUACAUUGCCUGAUCAAAGCUUUUUUUUGGGCUUUGAACAAUGCUGAGCCCACAUCAGGACUGGUCAAUACAUAGACGUAUGUUGUGUGCUGCUUGAAGUGGUCUUCCCAAAAGAGAGGUGUUGUUAGCACUCGUGGCUGCUUGCCUCCCCUUGUAUGUUUGAUUAUAUGUAUUUUUUUAUGAAGCUGUGGACCUGUGGUUGUGUUAAUCUCAACUUUGUACGCUUUUUAUCAAUCGCUUCAAAUUUCA